rnacentral:rRNA from 1 species
AUUGAACGCUGGCGGCAUGCUUUACACAUGCAAGUCGAACGGUAGAGGGGGCAACCCCUUGAGAGUGGCGAACGGGUGAGUAAUGCAUCGGAACGUGCCCAGUCGUGGGGGAUAACGCAGCGAAAGCUGUGCUAAUACCGCAUACGAUCUCUGGAUGUAAGCGGGGGACCGAAAGGCCUCGCGCGAUUGGAGCGGGCGAUGUCAGAUUAGGUAGUUGGUGGGGUAAAGGCUCACCAAGCCAACGAUCUGUAGCUGGUGUGAGAGGACGACCAGCCACACUGGGACUGAGACACGGCCCAGACUCCUACGGGAGGCAGCAGUGGGGAAUUUUGGACAAUGGGCGCAAGCCUGAUCCAGCAAUGCCGCGUGCAGGAAGAAGGCCUUCGGGUUGUAAACUGCUUUUGUACGGAACGAAAAGGUCUGGGUUAAUACCCUGGGCACAUGACGGUACCGUAAGAAUAAGCACCGGCUAACUACGUGCCAGCAGCCGCAGUAA